rnacentral:rRNA from 1 species
UACGAGGGGAGCAAGCGUUGUUCGGAUUUACUGGGCGUAAAGGGCGCGUAGGCGGUCGUGACAAGUCACUUGUGAAAUCUCCGGGCUUAACUCGGAACGGUCAAGUGAUACUGUCGGACUAGAGUACAGAAGGGGCAACUGGAAUUCUCGGUGUAGCGGUGAAAUGCGUAGAUAUCGAGAGGAACACCUGCGGCGAAGGCGGGUUGCUGGGCUGAUACUGACGCUGAGACGCGAAAGCGUGGGGAGCAAACAGG